AGAAUCAACGCUGGCGGCGUGCCUAACACAUGCAAGUCGAACGAGAAAGUGGAGCAAUCCAUGAGUAAAGUGGCGAACGGGUGAGUAACACGUGACUAACCUACCCUUGAGUGGGGGAUAACCUAGGGAAACCUGGGCUAAUACCGCAUAAUAUCGAGAGAUCAAAGGAGCAAUUCGCUUAAGGAGGGGGUCGCGGCUGAUUAGCUAGUUGGUGAGGUAAUGGCUCACCAAGGCUAUGAUCAGUA
rnacentral:rRNA from 1 species